AGAGUCUGAUCCUGGCUCAGAACGAACGCUGGCGGCAUGCCUAACACAUGCAAGUCGAACGCUCUUGGGGCUUCGGUUUCAAGGGAGUGGCGCACGGGUGAGUAGCGCGUGGGAAGCUGCCCUGUUGUGGGGGAUAACCGAGGGAAACUUCGGCUAAUACCGCAUACGCCGGUUGUCUUGAGAGAGAUGGCCGGGAAAGAUUGAUCGCAGCAGGAGGGGCCCGCGUCGGAUUAGGUAGUUGGUGGGGUAACGGCCUACCAAGCCUGUGAUCCGUAGCUGGUCUGAGAGGAUGAUCAGCCACACUGGGACUGAGACACGGCCCAGACUCCUACGGGAGGCAGCAGUGGGGAAUAUUGGACAAUGGGCGCAAGCCUGAUCCAGCAAUGCCGCGUGAGUGAUGAAGGCCUUCGGGUUGUAAAGCUCUUUCGCACGCGACGAUGAUGACGGUAGCGUGAGAAGAAGCCCCGGCUAACUUCGUGCCAGCAGCCGCGGUAAUACGAAGGGGGCGAGCGUUGUUCGGAUUUACUGGGCGUAAAGGGCGCGUAGGCGGCGAUGAAAGUCAGGCGUGAAAGCCCCGGGCUCAACCUGGGAGGUGCGCUUGGGACUACAUUGCUGGAGUUCGGGAGAGGAGCGUGGAAUUCCCAGUGUAGAGGUGAAAUUCGUAGAUAUUGGGAAGAACACCGGUGGCGAAGGCGGCGCUCUGGACCGAUACUGACGCUGAGGCGCGAAAGCGUGGGGAGCAAACAGGAUUAGAUACCCUGGUAGUCCACGCUGUAAACGAUGUGUGCUAGACGUUGGAGAGCCUAGCUCUUCGGUGUCGCCGCUA
rnacentral:rRNA from 1 species